rnacentral:rRNA from 1 species
AUUGAACGCUGGCGGCAGGCUUAACACAUGCAAGUCGAGCGGAGAUGAGGUGCUUGCACCUUAUCUUAGCGGCGGACGGGUGAGUAAUGCUUAGGAAUCUGCCUAUUAGUGGGGGACAACAUUCCGAAAGGAAUGCUAAUACCGCAUACGCCCUACGGGGGAAAGCAGGGGAUCUUCGGACCUUGCGCUAAUAGCUGAGCCUAAGUCGGAUUAGCUAGUUGGUGGGGUAAAGGCCUACCAAGGCAACGUUCUGUAGCGGGUCUGAGAGGAUGAUCCGCCACACUGGGACUGAGACACGGCCCAGACUCCUACGGGAGGCAGCAGUGGGGAAUAUUGGACAAUGGGCGGAAGCCUGAUCCAGCCAUGCCGCGUGUGUGAAGAAGGCCUUUUGGUUGUAAAGCACUUUAAGCGAGGAGGAGGCUACCUGGAUUAAUACUCUAGGAUAGUGGACGUUACUCGCAGAAUAAGCACCGGCUAACUCUGUGCCAGCCGCCGCCGUAAAAC